rnacentral:rRNA from 1 species
UACGUAGGGGGCAAGCGUUGUCCGGAAUUACUGGGUGUAAAGGGCGUGUAGGCGGGGUAUUAAGUCAGAUGUGAAAUCCCAUGGCUCAACUGAGGGUGUGCAUCUGAAACUGAUGUUCUUGAGUGAAGGAGAGGAAAGCGGAAUUCCUAGUGUAGCAGUGAAAUGUGUAGAUAUUAGGAGGAACACCGGUGGCGAAGGCGGCUUUCUGGACUGUAACUGACGCUGAGGCUCUAAAGCGUGGGUAGCAAACAGG